CUAAGACUGGAUAGGAGACAAGAAGGCAUCUUCUUGUUUUUAAAAGACCUAGCAAUAGGUAUGCUUAGGUAGGAGCUUGCGUCACAUUAGUUAGUUGGUGGGGUAAAGGCCUACCAAGACUACGAUGUGUAGCCGGGCUGAGAGGUUGAACGGCCACAUUGGGACUGAGACACGGCCCAAACUCCUACGGGAGGCAGCAGUAGGGAAUUUUCGGCAAUGGAGGAAACUCUGACCGAGCAACGCCGCGUGAACGAUGAAGUAUUUCGGUACGUAAAGUUCUUUUAUUAGGGAAGAAUAAAUGAUGGAAAAAUCAUUCUGACGGUACCUAAUGAAUAAGCCCCGGCUAACUAUGUGCCAGCAGCCGCGGUAAUACAUAGGGGGCAAGCGUUAUCCGGAAUUAUUGGGCGUAAAGGGUGCGUAGGCGGUUAAAUAAGUUUGUGGUCUAAGUGCAAUGCUCAACAUUGUGAUGCUAUAAAAACUGUUUAGCUAGAGUAAGAUAGAGGCAAGUGGAAUUCCAUGUGUAGUGGUAAAAUGCGUAAAUAUAUGGAGGAACACCAGUAGCGAAGGCGGCUUGCUGGGUCUUUACUGACGCUGAGGCACGAAAGCGUGGGGAGCAAACAGGAUUAGAUACCCUGGUAGUCCACGCCGUAAACGAUGAGUACUAAACGUUGGGUAAAACCAGUGUUGAAGUUAACACAUUAAGUACUCCGCCUGAGUAGUACGUACGCAAGUAUGAAACUUAAAGGAAUUGACGGGACUCCGCACAAGCGGUGGAUCAUGUUGUUUAAUUCGAAGGUACCCGAAAAACCUCACCAGGUCUUGACAUGCUUCUGCAAAGCUGUAGAAACACAGUGGAGGUUAUCAGUUGCACAGGUGGUGCAUGGUUGUCGUCAGCUCGUGUCGUGAGAUGUUGGGUUAAGUCCCGCAACGAGCGCAACCCUUAUUGUUAGUUACCAGCACGUAAUGGUGGGGACUUUAGCAAGACUGCCAGUGAUAAAUUGGAGGAAGGUGGGGACGACGUCAAAUCAUCAUGCCCCUUAUGACCUGGGCUACAAACGUGAUACAAUGGCUGUUACAAAGGGUAGCUGAAGCGCAAGUUUUUGGCGAAUCUCAAAAAAACAGUCUCAGUUCGGAUUGAAGUCUGCAACUCGACUUCAUGAAGUUGGAAUCGCUAGUAAUCGCGAAUCAGCAUGUCGCGGUGAAUACGUUCUCGGGGUUUGUACACACCGCCCGUCA
rnacentral:rRNA from 1 species